rnacentral:rRNA from 1 species
UACGUAGGGUGCGAGCGUUGUCCGGAAUUACUGGGCGUAAAGGGCUCGUAGGCGGCCAACUAAGUCAGACGUGAAAUCCCCAGGCUCAACCUGGGAACUGCGUCUGAUACUGGAUGGCUUGAAUCCGGGAGAGGGAUGCAGAAUUCCAGGUGUAGCGGUGAAAUGCGUAGAUAUCUGGAGGAAUACCGGUGGCGAAGGCGGCAUCCUGGACCGGCAUUGACGCUGAGGAGCGAAAGCCAGGGGAGCAAAGCGGGAUUAGAUACC